AAUAAUUACCUUGCAGGGUUAACUCCACCUCUAGUGGCUGUCUACAAUAUAUAUAUAUAUAUAUAUAUAUUGUAGACAGCCACUAGAGGUGGAGUUAACCCUGCAAGGU